CGCGUAGGCGGAUGGUUAAGUCCGGUGUGAAAGCCCCCGGCUCAACCGGGGAGGGCCAUUGGAAACUGGGAGGCUUGAGUAUAGGAGAGAAGAGUGGAAUUCCACGUGUAGCGGUGAAAUGCGUAGAGAUGUGGAGGAACACCAGUGGCGAAGGCGACUCUUUGGCCUAUAACUGACGCUGAGGCGCGAAAGCGUGGGGAGCAAACAGGAUUAGAUACCCCAGUA
rnacentral:rRNA from 1 species